rnacentral:rRNA from 1 species
CAGGACGAACGCUGGCGGCGUGCCUAACACAUGCAAGUCGAGCGGGGACAUACGACGGAAGUGAAGUUUCGGAUGGAGCGGAAGAUGUAUGUUCUAGCGGCGGACGGGUGAGUAACGCGUGAGCAACCUGUCCCUUACAGGGGGAUAACACAGCGAAAGUUGUACUAAUACCGCAUAAGACCACGGGGAGACAUCUUUCAGGGGGUCAAAAGGAGCAAUCCGGUAAGGGGUGGGCUCGCGUCCGAUUAGAUAGUUGGUGAGGUAACGGCCCACCAAGUCGACGAUCGGUAGCCGACCUGAGAGGGUGAUCGGCCACAUUGGGACUGAGACACGGCCCAAACUCCUACGGGAGGCAGCAGUGGGGAAUAUUGGGCAAUGGGGGGAACCCUGACCCAGCAACGCCGCGUGAGGGAAGAAGGUUUUCGGAUCGUAAACCUCUGUCCUUGGUGAAGAGAGAGAGACGGUAGCCAAGGAGGAAGCCCCGGCUAACUACGUGCCAGCAGCCGC